rnacentral:rRNA from 1 species
AUUGAACGCUGGCGGCAGGCUUAACACAUGCAAGUCGAGCGGAGAUGAGGUGCUUGCACCUUAUCUUAGCGGCGGACGGGUGAGUAAUGCUUAGGAAUCUGCCUAUUAGUGGGGGACAACAUUCCGAAAGGAAUGCUAAUACCGCAUACGCCCUACGGGGGAAAGCAGGGGAUCUUCGGACCUUGCGCUAAUAGAUGAGCCUAAGUCGGAUUAACUUGUUGGUGGGGUAAAGGCCUACCAAGGCGACGAUCUGUAGCGGGUCUGAGAGGAUGAUCCGCCAAACUGGGACUGAGACACGGCCCAGACUCCUACGGGAGGCAGCAGUGGGGAAUAUUGGACAAUGGGCGGAAGCCUGAUCCAGCCAUGCCGCGUGUGUGAAGAAGGCCUUUUGGUUGUAAAGCACUUUAAGCGAGGAGGAGGCUACCUGGAUUAAUACUCUAGGAUAGUGGACGUUACUCGCAGAAUAAGCACCGGCUAACUCUGUGCCAGCCGCCGCCGUAAUAC